rnacentral:rRNA from 1 species
GAUCAUGGCUCAGGAUGAACGCUAGCGGCAGGCCUAACACAUGCAAGUCGAGGGGCAGCACGGUGUAGCAAUACACUGGUGGCGACCGGCGCACGGGUGCGUAACGCGUAUGCAACCUACCCAUAACAGGGGGAUAACACUGAGAAAUUGGUACUAAUACCCCGUAACAUCAGGACCGGGCAUCGGUUCUGGUUGAAAACUCCGGUGGUUAUGGAUGGGGCAUGCGUUGUAUUAGCUGGUUGGUG